rfam:Fusobacterium sp. CAG:439 genomic scaffold, scf61
AAUAUUACAAAUAUACAACCGCAGACAGUUAGCGGGGGGGGGGCAGAUAAGAGCCCCGGUGUUUGAAAAACUAACAUAAUCUCCCCUUAAUAUACCAGCUAACCGAGGUGAAACAGUCGAAAUAUUUUAAAUAGAUUUGUUAGCCUGUGAGAUUUUGCGGUCAAAAUAUGAAAGAUGCAAAAUCUUUUGUAUUUUUAGAA